rnacentral:rRNA from 1 species
AUUGAACGCUGGCGGCAGGCCUAGCACAUGCCAGUCGAGCGGAUGAAGGGAGCUUGCUCCUGGAUUCAGCGGCGGACGGGUGAGUAAUGCCUAGGAAUCUGCCUGGUAGUGGGGGAUAACGUCCGGAAACGGGCGCUAAUACCGCAUACGUCCUGAGGGAGAAAGUGGGGGAUCUUCGGACCUCACGCUAUCAGAUGAGCCUAGGUCGGAUUAGCUAGUUGGUGGGAUAAAGGCCUACCAAGGCGACGAUCCGUAACUGGUCUGAGAGGAUGAUCAGUCACACUGGAACUGAGACACGGUCCAGACUCCUACGGGAGGCAGCAGUGGGGAAUAUUGGACAAUGGGCGAAAGCCUGAUCCAGCCAUGCCGCGUGUGUGAAGAAGGUCUUCGGAUUGUAAAGCACUUUAAGUUGGGAGGAAGGGCAGUAAGUUAAUACCUUGCUGUUUUGACGUUACCAACAGAAUAAGCACCGGCUAACUUCGUG